AUUAAAAAACUUUGAAUUGCUCAUCAGCUGAAACCAGGGUCGCUUUCUACUGGGAUAUUAUUAUAAAAACUACAUUGUUGCUCAGCAAGCCUACCAUUCACUGAGCACCUGACGGUAUCUGCGCGUUCYAGGAUUAAACUUGACAACCCAAUACAAAAGACGAAGGAAAUAGCUCUGAAAAGAGCAACUCAAGCGGUUUUCUGGGACCUUUGCAAGGAAGCAGAUUUUCCACUUUUCUUCAUAAAAUUUCAUACAACAUUCUCUACAAACUUAGGUUUUAUUGUGUGCGACUAAGUGAAGCUKACCAACUCGUSCUGUCUUGAGUGAUGACAGAUUUGAAUUAGAGGUCAUAGCCAUCUUAUAUCAAAAUGUAUGGCAUGUUACUCGAGGCAAUCGCGUACCAAACUACAGAGAAGUAYGGCAGGACUGUCUGGCAAAAGAUUCUCCUCGAUUCUCAGAUUGAGACAACAGU